CAGUCGCCACGGGAAUACGUAGGGACCAAGCGUUGUCCGGAAUCAUUGGGCGUAAAGCGCGCGUAGGUGGCCAUUUAAGUCCGCUGUGAAAGUCAAAGGCUCAACCUUUGAAAGCCGGUGGAUACUGGAUGGCUAGAGUACGGAAGAGGCGAGUGGAAUUCCUGGUGUAGCGGUGGAAUGCGCAGAUAUCAGGAGGAACACCAAUAGCGAAGGCAGCUCGCUGGGACGUUACUGACACUGAGGCGCGAAAGCGUGGGGAGCGAACAGGAUUAGAGACCCCCGUAGUCCCUGUCUCUUAUAC
rnacentral:rRNA from 1 species